UGGGGAAUAUUGGGCAAUGGGCGCAAGCCUGACCCAGCAACGCCGCGUGAGGGAAGAAGGCUUUCGGGUUGUAAACCUCUGUCCUUGGUGACGAAAAAAAUGACGGUAGCCAAGGAGGAAGCCCCGGCUAACUACGUGCCAGCAAGCCGCGGUAAUACGUAGGGGGCGAGCGUUGUCCGGAAGUACUGGGCGUAAAGGGUGCGUAGGCGGCCUAUUAAGUUGGAUGUGAAAUACCCGGGCUUAACUGGGGGGUUGCAUCCGAUACUGGCAGGCUAGAGUGCAGGAGAGGGAAGCGGAAUUCCUAGUGUAGCGGUGAAAUGCGUAGAUAUUAGGAGGAACACCGAGUGGCGAAGGCGGCUUUCUGGGACUGUAACUGACGCUGAGGCACGAAAGCGUGGGG
rnacentral:rRNA from 1 species